UACGUAGGUGACAAGCGUUGUCCGGAUUUACUGGGCGUAAGGAGCGCGCAGGCGGUCGAUCAAGUCGAGUGUGAAAGCCCCCGGCUCAACUGGGGAGGGUCAUUCGAUACUGAUCGACUCGAAGGCAGGAGAGGGUAGUGGAAUUCCCGGUGUAGUGGUGAAAUGCGUAGAUAUCGGGAGGAACACCAGUGGCGAAGGCGACUUCCUGGCCUGUUCUUGACGCUGAGGCACGAAGGCCAGGGGAGCAAACGGG
rnacentral:rRNA from 1 species